GAGACACCAUCAGGCCAAGGGGAGGCUCCAGCAUCUGCACUUGGGUCUUGGAGGUUGUUCCUGGAAGACCUUUACACAGCUUUCUGGCCUCUCCUCUUCACUCCACAUUUUGCCAGGAUCCCUGGAGGAGAAAUGACUUCCUUUCCAUGUUCCAUGAAGUGACUUUGUCACAAGCAACUCUUGCCAGCCCUCCUCCCCAUCUCCAAUGCCCCCAGGGCUCACAGGACCAAGGUCCCCCAUGGCCUGUCUAUCCCUGUCAGUUGGGGUGUAUUUCUACGGAUAAUGAAGAUGAAAACAAUGAGUCUUCGUACGUCAGCCAGGAUCUGCCCCACCGGACUCGUGGGACACGUUGCAGCCUCUGCCUCCAUUCCCGAUCCAGGUGGACAGGCCCAAUUCUACCUCCAGGAGCAUCUGACUUCUAAUCUAUUCAUGGGUUCAUUAAGACCCUGGUUGAGCACGUGUGUGUCAAGCCCUGCACGAGACACUGGACGUGGUCAUGGAAAGAGCCCACCAACCCUGUUAUGUGGCCCAGAAGACCAGCCUCUUCCCCUGUCAU